rnacentral:rRNA from 1 species
AUUCCAGCACCAAUAGCGUAUAUUAAUGCUGCUGCUGUUAAAAAGCUCGUAGUUGGAUCAAGAGUUCGACCGUGCACGGUGGCCCUGUCCUCGCGGUGGUUCCGAUCAUCGCGGGAGCAGCGGAUCAACCCCGUGCGCCAAACGGUCGACUCUAACAGACCGGAGCGGUUCCCUGUGAGUAGGCUCCUUCAUUGGGGCUGAAAGCGUCUACGCAUCAACCAUAUGCAUACGGGGGACGUCGGUCAAAGUUACUGUGAACAAACCAGCGUGUCCAAACAGGCCUUUGCCUGAAUGUUCGAGCAUGGAAUAACAAGGGAUCGAUUCUCUCGGUUCUUUUUGUUUGGUUUUUUUAACCCGAGAAGGAGUAAUUCAGGCCACGGUGUCUGAGUUUGGGUUUUCCCGUCGCCUCGGCGGCGGCCCCAAUUAGGCCGUGUCCUUACGGGAUAAAUAGGGACUGACGGGGCCGUACGUACUUCCACGUCAGAGGUGAAAUUCUUAGAUCGUGGGAAGACGAACUUCUGCGAAAGCAUUCGGCAA